UACGUAGGGUGCAAGCGUUGUCCGGAAUUAUUGGGCGUAAAGAGCUCGUAGGCGGUUUGUCGCGUCUGCUGUGAAAACUCAGGGCUUAACCCUGAGCCUGCAGUCGGGUACGGGCAGGACUAGAGUGUGGUAGGGGAGAUCGGAAUUCCUGGUGUAGCGGUGGAAUGCGCAGAUAUCAGGAGGAACACCGGUGGCGAAGGCGGAUCUCUGGGCCAGUAACUGACGCUGGAGGAGCGAAAAGCAUGGGGAGCGAACAGGA
rnacentral:rRNA from 1 species